UACAGAGGGUGCGAGCGUUAAUCGGAUUUACUGGGCGUAAAGCGUGCGUAGGUGGCUUUUUAAGUCAAAUGUGAAAUCCCCGAGCUUAACUUGGGAAUUGCAUUCGAUACUGGAAGGCUAGAGUAUGGGAGAGGAUGGUAGAAUUCCAGGUGUAGCGGUGAAAUGCGUAGAGAUCUGGAGGAAUACCGAUGGCGAAGGCAGCCAUCUGGCCUAAUACUGACACUGAGGUACGAAAGCAUGGGGAGCAAACAGG
rnacentral:rRNA from 1 species